AUAAACAUUUAUUAUACUGAACACUAUUGAAAAAAAUGUGUUUAAACAGUUAAAAAGUGAUUUAUUGUCACAGUAUUAAUUUAAACAUAACUUUAGACUUAGUAUUCAAAAAAAAAAUGAAUUGUUUGAUAUGAAAUUGAGUAAAAUCGAUUUUCUUAUGAAAAAACAAAAAUUAUUCAGAAAAAUAUAAAUUUAAAAUAACAUAUUUUACUCAAUUCAAUACAGUAAUGAAUAUUUUGAUGUACCUGAUAUCACUGAUUGAAACACGUGAACAAUAUAUUUUGAAGAAACUGGUUGGGGAUAAGUUCUCACAAAAUCGGCAAUAACAUUCUAGUAUAACACAAGUGCUGUUUCGUCAACAGGGAUUAAACAGGGGUUAAGCCUCCUCUAACCGACCAGUAGUGACAAUGAUAAUUGUAUUACUAUAAAAAUCUGGUNU